AAGACUUCUACCAGCUUGUCCCUUUCCUGGGAUGUUACACCCCGGCCUCGGGCCCUACCCCCUCCCAUCCGCUAUGAACUGACCUACCGCAAGAAGGAUGAUAACCUGGAUGUUACUACCUACAUUGUGCUCCUCCUGGAGAAGAAUUCUGUGCAGAUCAUGGAUCUUCACAGCAUUGCCGAUCCCUCAAAGACACCUGAACAUCUGGAAGAACUGGAUGUGCACUUUGUUGAAUGAGAUUUUGCCUGAAGUCACUGUUGUCCUUGCUCACCUAUCUUAUGCAAAUAUGUGUUUUUGUGUAUGCAGAAUGUCAGCCAGGCUUCUUCAAAGACGCACCAUCCAUGUGUUCUGCUUUAUCGAGUAGGCUACAUUUCCUCAUUUCAAACAGAUUUGACGAAAUCUGUCAAAACUGAAACAACUAAUCGCUAUAAACUAAAACUCACUUUUCACAUGUGGAAACCUGUACUUUGACAGUGGAAAAGCUGGAACAAUAUAUUUUGUACACACUGAAAUCUUCACUUUUGACAUCAAUAGUAAGUAAUCUUUGAGUUUAUCCAUCACCGUAAGUAACAUAUGUCACAAAACAAAUGUUUGUGUUUCUUUGAGGAGAGAAUCUAAGUCUAUCACUUCUUAGCCAUGAAAUGCCAGGAUUCCAUUUUUUUUAACCACGUGUAUAGAUAGUUAGACAGAUAGAUAGACAGAUAAGUAAGUAGAUGGAUUCAGUAGAAAUAUACAUUUGAUUGAUAGAAACAGUUGAUAGAUAGAUACAACAAUUUUAACUUUAAUAUAACACUGCCAAGUAGUACUCUGUGCAUUAGUAGCAGCAAGUUAACAUUGUUGUAUAGCAUGGUGCCUACAAUUGAAUUUGAAUAUUAAACAUGUAGCUUCACCAUCAAGCCCUCUAUCCACAGUGAGAUUGUCCUAUAUAUAGUAGAGGGAAUAGAGAGGGAGGAGAAUAGAAAACAAAUAGAUGGGUGGAGAUUCAAAGUCGUCAGCAAACAUGCAUUCAUGUAUUCUCCCCUAUUUCUCUCUCUCUUUCUCUCCCCUCCCCACACUUUGUCACUCUCUCCUCCUAUACAGAAAAGUCAGCCAAUGCAUCAGCCUGCCGCUCAUCUGCUCUCACUCCCCCCAGCCUCAGAUCCUCUCUGCUCCUCCGCUGACUGACACUGCCGAUACCUCUCUCUCUCUUCCCUUCCUUCCUCCCCUUUAUUCAUCCCUCUCACCUCCUCAUCCUCAAGCCACCAUGGUGAACGGAUAACCUCCCAGCCGUCCUGACACCAUGGGUGCCUGCCUCUGCAAAGGUCACAAAGAGCUCCACUAUCCCAUGACGGUUCGGCAGGAUCAGACUGUGGAGGGUCAGCCAUCAUCUGUCGAGGUGAGUCACAUUUACUGUAGAUAGAUUUUUGCAGAUUUAAACAGAAAGCUACACAUUUUGGCUUUUACAUUCUCCAAGCCCCAGAGUUAUAACAGUUUUAAAGGGGCCCUAUGAUGCACAUUUUCAGGUUAAUUUCUUAUUUUGUGCCUCUACUGUGACAUGUUUACAUGAUUUAAUGUUUGAAAAGCUCUUUAUUUUUCUCAUACUGCCUGUGCUGCAGCACUUCUUUUCACCCUCUGUCUGAAACCAGAGCCCAGUCUGCUCUGAUUGGUUAACCGCGUAAAGAUGUCCCGUCCCUUAGCCCAUCACUUACGAUGUGUUUAAGAGUUAGCCAAUAGAAGCGAUUGUGUUACGUAGUGAUGUCAUGGAAGUAAACAAAGGAGUCCUAUCGCAAUGUUUAAGGUAGGGGGGAGAGUGUGGGAGAGAAACUCCCUUUAUCGUGAACUUUGAGAUUUUAGCCUUUGGACAAAAAUCUAUAUAACACACAAAGCAUAGUAGGGCCUCUUAGAAUAGCUAUUUUCGAGAAAAAAUAUAGUCCCUAAAAAACUCUGAUGCUGAGUUCUGUGAACUAUGCAGAGUAAUGGGUUGGCAAUUAAAAAAAAACUACAAACGCUUUAAUGUUUUUUAAAAAGACAUCUAUUAAAGGUAAUGUGUGUGCUUUGGAUGGCUGUGGUCGGGUCGAAACAAAAUGUUAGUUGGUUCAAAUAAUACAAGCUAUCUCAGAUCAACUUAUCAUGUAAAAAUGAUUGCAAAACCAAUAUCGAUGCAUUAUAUCCACAGCUGAUAGGGAACAAAUGUGCAUAAACAUAUAUGAAAUAACUAACUCAAAAAGAAUACAUGUAAAGAUUAUAGUUCUAGAUUAUAAAUCAAAUGUACAGAUGUUGGAGAGAAUGUGGUGAGCAGAUCAUAAAACACAGUCAUAUUUUGGUCAUGUAAAGCUAUUAGUGGUUUCUGGGAACAUUUUAUGUAGAGAACUGAAAUAACUUGUUUUUCUCUCCAAUAAUCCUUGACUACAGUACACUAUUAUAUAAACUCCAUUCAUUUAAAUUGUGUUGGGGUAGAGGAAGAAACUUGCACAAACAAUAUCUCAAAUCUGGGAAAAUAAAACUAAAUGACUAAUUCCAUUAGAGAAAAUAUGUUUCUCUGUGAUAAGGAUGAACUAACCCUUUCAGUGUUUGCCUGCACAGUUCUACUGAUCGAGUGAAAGUGAAAGUAUCAGAAUGAUCACAUUAUGGGCCUGCAUAAAGGAUAUGAAAUUAUUUUAACACAAACAGCAUGGCUCAGAUUAACUUGCUAUUUAGAUGAUUAUCUGCUUAUUAAUGAACAUGUUUACUGUACAGUGAGAUGAAUGCAGCUGUUUGGCUCUAUUUUACGGUGUAUAUCUUUUUAACAAACAACAUGUUGAGUCUGUUCCUCAGCCCGGCACCAGCACAAUCCCCAUGCUUGUUUCUGGAGUGAAAUUACCAAGAUUAUGCUUUUUCUCUAUAUUUGUCUAUUCACAAUAGUAACAUCACUAGAAUUCUACAAAAUAUUUAAUAUUGAACUUUUUAUCCUUGUUACUUUAGGGUAAAUUUGUAUUUACAGUUGACUAACAUUUACCAUAAUUUGUACUUUUACCGUGCUUCGCUACAUGUUAGCUAAUGUCAUGUAGUUUAUGUAGGCCUAAAUCCUUCACAAUUCUAGUGUCUCCAUAAGUAUUGAAUCAGAUACUGGUCAUAUGCAGUGGCGGACUUGCCAUCGGGACGAAUCCCGAUGGGCCGGUACUGAAGUGGGUCGGUCGGACGAUGUGGGCCGGUCGGAUAAGUCACUAGAACCCCCCCCCGUUGACAAUUUACUAGUGGUAUUUACUUGCGGUACCGAGGUGGGCCAGUCUGAUAAGUCACUAGCAUCCACCCCCCCGCCCCGUUGACAAUUUACUAGCGGUAACGAAGUGGGCCGAUCGAGAGUCCCGGGCUGAUUUUUAGCCCCUGGUCAGAUGUAUAUGGUUCUUGUAUAAAAUGAUUUAUUGUAAGUAAAGAAGAACUAACAAAACAGUAAUUGUUUGAAUUUACAAGUUUGAUGUCAAUCUACCUGUAGCUCAUAUUGCUAGCUAGCUGGGAAGCUACUAGCAAAAGAAACUAUAGGUUACUUACGUAACCCCAGUUCUCAGAGUAACAUGAAGUGAGAUGUC